GAUAAACGCUGGCGGCGUGCCUAAUACAUGCAAGUCGAACGGAGAGAUUUUGUAGUAAUACAGGUUCUCUUAGUGGCGAAUGGGUGAGUAACGCGUUGGUGACCUGCCCCGAAGAGGGGGAUAACAGUUCGAAAGGACUGCUAAUACCUCAUGUGGUCACGAGGGUUUGAGUACUCGUGUCUAAAGGAGCAAUCCGCUUCGGGAGGGGCCUGCGUCCCAUCAGCUAGUUGGUAGGGUAAUGGCCUACCAAGGCUACGACGGGUAGGGGGCCUGAGAGGGUGGCCCCCCACACUGGCACUGAAACACGGGCCAGACACCUACGGGAGGCAG
rnacentral:rRNA from 1 species